GAAUCCGCCAAGGAGUGUGUAACAACUCACCUGCCGAAUGAAUUAGCCCUGAAAAUGGAUGGCGCUUAAGCGGGCAGCCGACACCGCGCCGUUCCGGCGAGACGAUGCCGGGAUGAGUAGGAGGGCGUGGCGGUCAGUGACGCAGGCGAGGGUGCAGACCCCGCUGAAACGGCCGCUAGUGCAGAUCUUGGUGGUAGUAGCAAAUAUUCAAGCGAGAUCCUUGAAGGGCGAAGCGGGGAAGGGUUCCACGCAAACAUUGAUUGGGCGUGGGUGAGUCGUUCCUAAGCCGAGUGGCAAUUGCUAAGUAGCGGCGAAAGGGAAGCGGGUUAAAAUUCCCGCACACGGAUAUGGAGGCGGCGACGCAAGCAGAGGCAAAUACGCUGGCGAGGGCGCUGGGCAGAGUUGUCUUUUCUGUUUGACCGGCAUCGCGCUGUGUGGAAUCCGCUUAUCGGGAGAAACACGCGCGGGGAGGGGCAGAGCGUCAGGUCUUUUCUGGCGUCCGGCUCGCCCUCGACGGCCCUUGAAAAUUUGCCCGCGAACUUAAAUUUCAUGCUGUGACGUACCGAUAACCGCAUCAGGUCCCCAAGGUGAACAGCCUCUGCUCAAUAUGAACAAUGCAGGUAAGGGAAGUCGGCA
rnacentral:rRNA from 2 species